rnacentral:rRNA from 1 species
CGGCGGACGGGUGAGUAACGCGUGGGCAACCUGCCUUACACAGGGGGAUAACAGUUAGAAAUGACUGCUAAUACCGCAUAAGACCGCAGUACCGCAUGGUACAGCGGUAAAAACUCCGGUGGUGUAAGAUGGGCCCGCGUCUGAUUAGGUAGUUGGCGGGGUAACGGCCCACCAAGCCGACGAUCAGUAGCCGACCUGAGAGGGUGGACGGCCACAUUGGGACUGAGACACGGCCCAAACUCCUACGGAAGGCAGCAG